AUACGUAGGGUGCAAGCGUUAAUCGGAAUUACUGGGCGUAAAGCGUGCGCAGGCGGUUUUGUAAGCCAGCGGUGAAAACCCCGGGCUCAACCUGGGCACUGCCCUUGUGACUGCAAGGCUGGAGUGAGGGAGAGGGGGAUGGAAUUCCGCGUGUGGCAGGGAAAUGCGUAGAUAAGCGGAGGAACACCGAUGGCGAAGGCAAGCACCUGGGCCUGCACUGACGCUCAUGCACGAAAGCGUGGGGAGCAAACAGGAUUAGAUACCCUGGUAGUCCACGCCCUAAACGAUGUCAACUGGUUGUUGGGGAUUUAUUUUCUCAGUAACGAAGCUAACGCGUGAAGUUGACCGCCUGGGGAGUACGGCCGCAAGGUUAAAACUCAAAGGAAUUGACGGGG
rnacentral:rRNA from 1 species